UACGGAGGGUGCAAGCGUUAUCCGGAUUCACUGGGUUUAAAGGGUGCGUAGGCGGGUAAGUAAGUCCGUGGUGAAAUCUCCGGGCUUAACCCGGAAACUGCCAUUGAUACUAUUUGUCUUGAAUACUGUGGAGGUCAGCGGAAUAUGUCAUGUAGCGGUGAAAUGCUUAGAUAUGACAUAGAACACCAAUUGCGAAGGCAGCUGGCUACACAAAUAUUGACACUGAGGCACGAAAGCGUGGGGAUCAAACAGG
rnacentral:rRNA from 1 species